rnacentral:lncRNA from 1 species
GGUGUCCAGCUGGGAUUUGCUCACACGUCCUUGCACUGGUGUUUAUGGCAGCCCUCCGUUGACGGCUGAACCUUCCCCACUUUGCUGUCAACCUGGAUUCUGCUGCUACAGCCCUGGGAUGUUCAGGCAAUUUACAAGACCCUGGCACGCAGUGAACAAGCCAGACACGGCCCGGGCCACGUGGUGCUCACAGUCUAGAGGAAGACACAAAUACCCGCCGAGAACAGGGACCAGACAAGUGGUCUUUACGAGAAAACUUCCAGUAACGAUGUGCGAAGGGCCCUUCUAGGUAGAAGAGGAAGACCUCUCCACUGAACGGGGCUGUUGCUAACUCUCAAGUCUCCACUGAACGGGGCUCUGCCUUGGGAAGGAGCCUGUCAGGGCCCUGUACUUGCCCCUUGGAAGUGACCCUGGGGAAAAGGCAUUUGGACCGUGUGUGAGGAGCUGGCGCCUCUUCCGUGGUUGUUUGUAGUGCCUGUUGGUCUGAUAUUUUUGGAGGACAAUUUGGCAACAUUCAUUAGAGCUUUAAAAAGGACGGCUAGUCUUAAGGGACUGUGGAGACAAAUUGUUCUAUGUCCACAAAAUGCCAUAAAUGAUUACAUAGCCCUCUAUACCCAGACAGGGAAAGAGAUCCAGAUGUUACGAUGUUUGGUUCAAAAAGUUACGUACAGGGGGUUCCCGUCGUGGCACAGUGGUUAACGAAUCCGACUAGGAACCAUGAGGUUGCGGGUUCGGUCCCUGCUCAGUGGGUUAAGGAUCCAGCGUUGCCGUGAGCUGGGGUGUAGGUCGCAGACAUGGCUCGGAUCCUGCGUUGCUGUGGCUGUGGUGUAGGCCGGCGGCUACAGCUCCGAUCGGACCCCCAGCCUGGGAACCUCCAUGUGCCGUGGGGGCGGCCCUAGAAAUGGCAAAAAGCCCAAAAAAAAAAAAAAAAAAA